CCAAACCUGCACCCAAGCCCAACUGUCCAACUGACGAAAAAUAGUCUGAACUCUGGGUUUGCAGUUCAAGUAGGUUUAAUUGAACCAAGGGAGUUGAUCCCUCCACCCCUACGUUAUGGCCUCACCUCCCCAAUAUUUUCCACAUCUUAUUUUAUUAAAAAAAAUAACCUUUUUACUUUUUAUUAUAUUUUUUACUUUUACCCCUAUUUAACUAAUUUAACUC
rnacentral:lncRNA from 1 species